GCGGGAGUCGCCAAGUGGUAAGGCGUCAGCCUUCCAAGCUGAUAUUCGUGGGUUCGAAUCCCAUCUCCCGCUC
rnacentral:tRNA from 1 species